rnacentral:tRNA from 1 species
AGCACGAUGGCCGAGUGGUUAAGGCGUUGGACUUAAGUUCCAAUGGAUGAAAAUCCGCGUGGGUUCGAACCCCACUCGUGCUA